UUUUCAACGAGUGGGUGAAGGAGCUUGUACGCGCAGCCAGUCGAGGUGUAAAGCAUACCAGCGGUCGUAGGGAGGUCAGACAGCAGUAACAACAUCACAACCAGUUACAACUGAGGGCAACAAUUGGUGUUGCUCUGCGUGUGGGGAUGGAUGUCCUAACGUGUCCAACUGCAGCAGGUUCCUAGGCAUGAGUGUGAGUUCGCGUUGGACAACUAUAAAGCGUGCGUCACUGUGUAGAACGUGCCUCCGCAAGCACCCAGGUGCAUGCCCUGUAACUACGUUGUGCGGAGUAAAUGGGUGCGAACGCCGUCAUCAUCAGUUGUUACACUCGUCCGGUAGCAGCCAACUAUUAUCAGACAUCCCGCCAGAAUUGAGUCGAGUCAACACCAGCUGUAACGUGCAUUCUGCUACUUCCGGAGGAGUUAUGUUCAAGUAUGUGCCGGUUACGUUAUAUGGGAAUGGGAAGAAGGUUGAUACUAUCGCUAUUUUAGAUGACGGAUCGUCGGCAACGUUUAUGGAACAUGACUUGCUGAGACAGCUAGGCAUCAGUGGCAAGCAUCGUCCAUUAUGCAUAUCGUGGACCGGUAACCAAAGCAGGGUUGAAGACGAGUCCGUAGAAUUAUCUGUUAAGAUAUCUGGCGUUGGGUCAUCUUUCAUAUAUGACAUGAACACGGUCCAUACAGUUCGUACCCUUGGCUUAUGUGAUCAAUCAGUAGAACCGAGGCAAUUAGCCACUCAGUAUAGCCAUUUGAGAGGUCUUCCACUACCAUUAUAUCAAAAUGCCUCGGCGAAGGUCCUAAUUGGCAUUGAUAAUUGCUUCUUGAGCCAAACCCUUAAAACGGUCGAAAGAGGGACAAACGAGCCGUCAGCAUCAAAAAC